rnacentral:rRNA from 1 species
AGUGAACGCUGGCGGCAUGCCUAACACAUGCAAGUCGAACGGCAGCACAGGAGAGCUUGCUCUCUGGGUGGCGAGUGGCGGACGGGUGAGGAAUACAUCGGAAUCUACUUUUUCGUGGGGGAUAACGUAGGGAAACUUACGCUAAUACCGCAUACGACCUACGGGUGAAAGUAGGGGAUCGCAAGACCUUACGCGAUUAG